CGUCUAUAUACGUAUAGCAUAUCAAUAAGCGGAGGAAAAGAAACUAACAAGGAUUCCCUUAGUAACGGCGAGUGAAGCGGGAAGAGCUCAAAUUUGAAAUCUUCAAGGUUCUACCUUGACGAAUUGUAGUUUAUAGAAGUGUUUUCUGUUAGUGGAGUGGCAAAAGUUCUUUGGAAUAGGACAUCAUAGAGGGUGAGAAUCCCGUAUUUGGUCAUUCCUCCUAGCGUUGUGAUACACUUUCAACGAGUCGGAUUGUUUGGGAAUGCAGUCCAAAAUGGGUGGUAAAUUUCAUCUAAAGCUAAAUAUUGGCGAGAGACCGAUAGCGAACAAGUACCGUGAGGGAAAGAUGAAAAGAACUUUGAAAAGAGAGUUAAACAGUACGUGAAAUUGUCAAAAGGGAAGCGUUUGUCACCAGUGUUGUUUUUCCGAAAAUCAAUUACGAAUGUUUUGUUUUUAAGAAGUUAUGACUUCAUCGGCUUGCUCCUUUCUUUAUGAAACUUUCUUAAUGCACUUUUCGGCUAACAAGUCAACAUCAAUUUCUUUUGUUGUAAAAGAGUAUGAGGAAGGUGGCUUUCUUUUCGGAGAAAGUGUUUAUAGCCUUGUGCCUCUGCAAUCGGAGAGAUUGAGGUCUGCAGCGUAGAUCCUUCGGGGUUAGAUACAGUUUGUGCUAAGUUAUAGCUUUUCAUAGACAACUUGUUGACUAUGUUUAGUCUUGUAGCUUACUCGCUUAUGCUAUUUUACCUACGCUUAGGAUGUUGACGAGACUGUCGAUCUC
rnacentral:rRNA from 1 species